rnacentral:rRNA from 1 species
AUUCCAGCUCCAAUAGCGUAUAUUUAAGUUGUUGCAGUUAAAAAGCUCGUAGUUGGAUUUUGGGUCGGGGGCACCGGUCCGCCGUUCCGGUGUGCACUGGUGGCCCCUUCCUUUCUGCCGGGGACGUGCGUCGCACUUAAUUGGGUGGCGUUCGGAGUCGGCGUUGUUACUUUGAAAAAAUUAGAGUGUUCAAAGCAAGCCAUCGCUCUGAAUACAUUAGCAUGGAAUAACAUGAUAGGACUCCGGUCUUAUUUUGUUGGUUUCCGAGACUGGAGUAAUGAUUAAGAGGGACAGUCGGGGGCAUCCGUAUUUCAUUGUCAGAGGUGAGAUUCUUGGAUUUCUGAAAGACGAACUACUGCGAAGGCAUUUACCAAGGAUGUUUUCAUUG